rnacentral:rRNA from 1 species
GUCUAUGGCCAUGCUACCCUGAACAAGCCCGAUCCCGUCUGACUCGGACGCUAAGCAGGGUCGGGCCUGGUUAGUACUUGGAUGGGAGACCACCUAGGAAGACCAGGUGCUGUAGGUA